ACCACAACCUCCUUUCAAGUCGCUGUGAACAGCGAUGAGGUCUCCCCUUAUUUUUGUAUUGCUUAUUUUUUUAUUCCUUUUAAUUCUUCCACAGCUUAUUGAAGCAGCCACCCCAGGGAGAGCAUGAUUAGUGAAGAGUAUGUGGGAUGGAACUUCGGAGCACACUGAAGACCAAACUGGAGAACAGCUGGAGAGAUGCACAAGGCCCUUUUUCACUUCCGUUUCAUUUUUGGAAGUGACAGUCUCCCCAGAGAGAAGCCAGUGGACUUCUUCGAAAAGCUUGAGCUGCAUGUUUCGAUUUGUACAUCUCUGGCCAGAGUGAGAGGAGGUGAGCCCUUGUAUCACUUUAUAGCUCCUUUGUUAAUGUUUGCACCAUAUGAGAAAGUUCCAUACCAAAGUAAGGAAAAACUUCUUUCCUUUGAGGGUGACAGUACAGGAAAGUGUUACCCAGGGAGGUUGUAGAGUCUCCUCCUCUGAAGAUAUUCAGAACCCACCUGGAUGCUUCCCUGUACAACCUACUGUGGGGAACCUGCUUUAGUUGGACUGGAUGAUCUCCAUAGGUCCCUUCCAACCUCUAUGGUUAUGUGAUUCUGUGAUUAGUUCCAGCUCAUGUUCUAUAGCACUCCUACAGCUUCCUUCUCAGCUGCAGAUCUCCUCCCAGCCCCUAGAAGCAGAUCAAAAUGCUCACACCUGUCAAUAGCACAACUGCAGGUGUAGGAGGGGAACAGUCAUUGUCUGCCAAAGUUAUAGCUGUCCACGUCACUCAAUACAACUUCUUUGAGAAGGGGCUGCCUUCAAAAUCAGAUUGAGUCAAUAAGUCUCCAAAAAGAGAGAGCUGCUCAUGCUGUUACUGUGAAGUAUUCAUCAAGCAGGACCUCAGUUGUUUUAGGACCCAACUCUCUCCCAAGUUGCACUGCAGGCCUGUCAUGGCAUGGGAGAUACAACUCUGAAUGGAAAUCUGAGCAGAAACACUUUAUUCUGUGGCAAGUUUUAGACUUGGAAAGUAAUGACAGAGUUGAUGUCCAAACCUGCGUCAGCUACCUGUAGCUGCUGUUGAAUUCAGUGAGAAGGGGAACUGCCUUCCUCUUCAAAUUGCACCAUGAUCACAGAAACCUAGAACCAUUGAAUCACUAAGGCUGGAAUAGACCUCCAAGAUCAUCUACUCCAAACAUCUACCCACCACCAAUAUUUCCCCAAGAUAAAAUGUCCCUAAGUAUAUCAUAUAAACGUUUCUUGAACACGGGGAUGCUUGGAAUACAGACUCCUUGAAUGACCUGAGAAGACACUGACCAGCCUCUUGGAGAAUGUCCAUUUGCUCUGUGAGCUAUGACCUGUACAAAAAUUGAAAUAAAUGGCUUACUCAAGCCAAUUUGUGCUACAGAAGUACCGCAUUCUUCGUGCUUGCAGUCAGACUGCAGAACAUAGCCAGUUCUUUCAUGAUGUGUGAAUCGACCAGGGUCCCCCUCAUCUUCUCUUGAAUCUUGGUGAAAUUAUGUUAAAAUUGAGUUCAGAUUCUCUCCGCACAUCUUCCAUGCCAUUGUUUUCCACUGGUGUCCCAUCCCUUCUUCCACAAAAGCUUGUUUUGCUGCAAAAUGACCACUGUAUUACCACAUUUGCCACAUACCUGAGCACUCCCUGGUGUGCUGCAAGUGUCCUGUGCCAUGUAACCCAAUGUGCACAGGCUUGACACAUAAUCUUGAGGGCCAUGUACUGCUACUCUUGGCUUUAGCAGCUACGUCUCGUGGGGUAUGUUGAAAAGAGUGUGGCCAAGCACAUCAGGGGAGGUUCUCCUCACUCUCUACUCUGGCCUGGUGUGUCCACAUCUGGAGCACUGAAGUCCUACUAGCUAAUAGAAUUCAGGCUACAGUGUGGGAAAAAGAAGAAGUUAUGGAUAGCAGCUUGGAAUUGGAAAAGGGUGAUGACACUAAGAAAGCUUAACUGAGAACCUGAAUCACAACCAUUGCCACUAAAAAAAAUGUGAAGGGUCUUAGUAAUUGGAGACUCUUUUCUGAGGGGCACCUAGGCAUCCAUCUGCCAGCCAGAUAACCUCUCUAUAGAGGUUUGCUGCCUGCCAAGAGCCUGCAUUAGGGACAUCAAGAAGAUAAUAUCCAGUACGAUAAUGCCAGAUGACUGUUAUCCUCUCCUGCCUUUUCAAGUCAGGUCUCACAAGGCUGUGACCAGGAAAUGAAAAGAUAUCAAAAAAGACUUUGCCUUGGGAAGGUGUUGAAGGGGGCAGAAGCACAGGUAUUGUUCUCUUCCGUCCUCAUGGUGGGAGACUGGAAUCUGGGCAGAGGAGAAGAACUGACCAGUCGAAUGUCUGGUUGCAUGAGUGGUGUCAUGCCCAAGGCUGUGGCUUCUAUGAUCUAGGUAGUUCCUUUAACAAACCGGGAGUGGUGACAUAGGAUGGGAUGCAACUGACCAGGAGAUGCAAGAAUAUACUAGGGAGCAAGCUAGCUGGGCUCAUUAUGAGGGCUUUAAACUAGAGGUGCUGGGAGAAGGGGAUGAACUGCUGAGUUACAGGGAAGAGCCAGAGAACCCUGUCAAUCUAGGAAGCAGUGGGGGAAAACCUCAUAUUUGUCUGAGAGGUUUGUGGGAAGGCUCCUUUAGAAAGGCAGUGCAUCUGAAAGCCCAGCUGAAGUGCCUGUAUACCAAUGCAUGCAGCAUGGGAAAUAAGCAAGGGGAGUUGGAAACCAUGGUGCACUGAGAAAACUUUGGUCUUAUUGCCAUCAUGGAAACAUGGUGGGAUGAUUCAUGUAACUGGAACACCACCAUUGAGGGCUAUAAACUUUUAGAAGGGAUAGGCAAGGUAGGAGGGGCGGGGAAGUUGCCCUCUAUUUUUAAGAGUGGAUAGACUGCGAUUAGCUCUUGGUCUUGGUGAAAAUUAUCUGAAGAUCAUGAACUCCAGUGGAGCCUCCUCUUUUUCUGUUUGGUUGGUUGGUUCUUGAGGGGUUUUGUUUGUUUGUUUUUGUUUGUUUCUUUGUUUUUAGCAUGGAUCUGCAGGAAUCUUAUUUUUCAAGUAUGGAGAAAAAAGACAAAUAUAGCACCAGUAGCUCAGGAAGUCACCAACUGCAACUUUAUUUCAAAAGAAUGCUCUGAGGUAUCAAUUAUUGGAGAUUCUACAUUUUUUAUUACCAUAUGAAAGAUUCUUUCACCCAUAAAAUAAUUCUUUGUGCCUAGUAAGCAAAGAAUUUGUUGACUUCACAGAAAACUUUGUUAACUUUACAAUAAUACAGUCCAAAGAAGACAAUGUGGCAUAAUAUAUAACUAUAAUCUGCUUUAUACAUCCUAUUGUAAAAUGUCUUUGUACAGCCUGGAUGUUGGGUAAAUACUUUUUGUAGUGAUAGAUCAAAUGCUGGACUGGGUUAUCUCAAAGACGUUCUGAAAAGAACAACUGCAUUUCAUAAACAGUAAUUAUAAAUACAACCCUUCUCUCUAACAAUAUUUAGGUGACAAAUGUAAGAUAUAAGUUCUCAAAAAUUGCUGAAUAUAAGUGUUAAUCCAUAUAAACUGCCUUCACAACCAUCAAGGUGUACACAAUUAUUAAGUUUUGUGUUAGAAUGUGUGUAAUUUACAACGCAAGUCUGGAAUAAAUAUGUAACUUCUCAAGAUAAUCAAAUACAUGACCUUUUUAUAUACAAGCAGUAGGCUAGCAUCUAAAAAGAAAAGUAGAAAGCUAUACAUUUUAUACAGUUUUUCAAAUAUACUGUCACUUAUUGGAUUUUAUUUAAAUUUUGAAUCCAAAGUACAUUUGCACAAAUAUUUUCAAAGGUGAGAGUCCAUGUGAAAGGCAACAGUGAAGACCAAGUCAUAAUAUCCUUCCACAAAAAAAAAGCUAUGAUGGCAGUUACUUGGAGAGGACGUUAACCUUGUGAUUUUCUAGGAGCUAUUAACAUUUAUCAACUUUGGUACUUAGCUGGCUUAGUCUAGUGCUAGUCUCUCUGUACUCUCUUGACUGCCAAUAGCAAAAAUGAAUUUUCUCCUGCAGGAAGUUCUGACCAUAAGCUUUCCUGAAUCACCUUUUGGGAUGGCAUUGCUUUCUCUGUUGACUGUGGGGGGAGCAGCCAGCUAGCUUUAUCUGGGUGACACCAACCAAUAUCACUGUGCCUCUUGUUGAAAUUGUUCCUCUUCAGCUCUUGGUUAAUACAGCUUUAAUUCAUCCUGUAUUUCUACUGUAACAUUAUGCUGUCAUAAGUCCAGCUGUUAUUUUUCUGUAAUGGGUGAGAUCUUCCCAACCACUCAGUAGAAUCCACCCCACUUUCAAUGCAAAUGUAAGUAUUAAUACAUAUUUAUGUAGUGCACUGAAUAUGCUAACAUAGCUAGACACUGGUGAAAGUUACUCUCAUAAUUCUAUGAUUUUUGAGAAGUCCAUCACUCACCUACAAAGUAAUUGUAACUCAUUGCCAAAAACUACUAUUUACAUAGGGUUUCCAGUAGUAUGUUGUUAACUCUUGGUCGUGUGGCAGAGACAAGACAUAAACAGUUUCUGUUCCCUAACCAGGCCCGUUCAUGCACAUAAACAAGUUGCAAGAAAGAGACAUUAGUGAUAUAAAAGAAAAAAAAGUUCUCAAAGGUCUGUCAAAUAAAAUAAUUCUGCUUGAAAACAUCCAUUUUAUGUUUCUAUGACAAUAUCAUAAAUAAUGGAAAGGUCAAAGGAAGCACUUGAUAUUCAGGAGGAAAAAUCAUUAGAAGUGCAUAGGUGAAAAACUGGUCCCACAGUACAUAAAUGCAAUACUCCAGUUCAGUAGGAUGAAUAUUGAUUCAUGUAUUUAUGUAGGUGUGAUCUCUUUAACAGGGUUCUGUAUUUCAGCACAUUUGAAAAAUGGAAACACGCAUCAUUCUUGUACAGAAUUCUUUUUUUUUUUUUCUCUAUUUUUCUACUUCUAGGAUGUAAAUGAACUACUAAUGAUAUUAAAAUAUUUUUAAAUAUUUCUAGUUAUUCAUGAAAAGUAAUUUAUACCUCUAUGAACGUAUAGCAAAUGCUGAACUUAACUUACAUUAACAACCACCACUGAACUUAAGAAUCACUGUCUUUUUGUUGAAAGCCUCAUAUAUUUCUAUUUGCCAGAGUGAGGCCCUUCUAAUAGAUAUAAAUUAAUGGUCAGUUGGACAUCAGAAAAGGAGGUUUCCCUUUGGACUUACAGGUGAAAUUAAAAAGCAGGUACCGCAUAUCACUUAUUGUCAUUUUCAUCAGAUAAUUUACAAAAUGCUGGUUAGCAAAAUCAACCAGUCCCCUUAAUGUUAUAAAAUACAUCUUCAGGACAAAGGACAUAAGGAGAGACAUAAAAGGUUGGAAGCAUAAAAGCAUAUUCUCAUAAGUACUAGGCAAUCCCUAUUGUUGGAUGACCAGAUCGAAUCAUCAUUUAGGUAGGUGCUAUCAAAGUUCACAAUCUUCAAGUCCUUUUUAAGAUACAUUUCAUUCAGAUUGCUUAGUGUUCGAGCAAAGGUAUAUUUAGAUGCGCAACUGUAUGCCUCCAUACUGUAGACUUUGUGGAAGUGCAUAUCAAAAUAUGGAUUAUCCUAAAAAAAAUCGAGAACAAAAUUAUUACAUACAUUGCAGACAUCAGAAUGGCAAUUUCUUGUUUUCUGUUUACCUACCUGUAGGCUUUUUUUUUUUUUUUUUCUCAGUUUUAUGGAUUCAAAAAAGUAUUAGCUAUGGACUUUGUGCAUUUCAGCUAUUCCUAUUAAAGUCUUGUAAAAUUUUACAAAUUAACAGUUUAUAAUUAGCUGCCCUUCUUUGCCAUUAGGAGUUUUGCCUGAGUAAAACUUUCAGACUUUGUCCAAGGAGGACACUGCACUUUAUUGUGAUUAUACAAUGCUGUUUUGAAGUGAACCAAUUUGUCAUGUUGCCUAAAACACACUUGCCUUGGACUAUAACUAUAUGUGCCUGUCAGAAGAAGAAUAUUGAUUACUCUUCCUGCCCAAAUUGUAAUUUUGUGUGCUUUCAAGCUCCUUGGCACAAUUAAUACCAGCAACAGCUAAGUUCUAUUAAAUUCUAUGGAUAUGAAUAGCAAUAUGAUGAAUAUUUAUAUCAGUGCUAAUCACCAUGUAAUGAGGAGUUUGUGGCUUAUGUAUGCUUUUCUGUAAUCAAAAAUAAGAUUUUGAGCAUCUGAGUUGUAGAAGGCUGAAUAAUCUCUGAAGGGUAUUUUAGUUUAAAAAAGAAAAAAGAAAGAAAGAAAGAAAAAAAGCUUAAAAAAGAAGUUGAAAGUUAAUGAGUUCAUGUAGGCAAACAAUAAGGUAAUCUUCUGGCUGCCUCAUCUGGUAAAGGGAUAGGAACAUCUCCAACUGCAAGAUAACUUGGAGAGGACAUAAAAUAUUAUUAGCUUUUGCUAUUUCCCUCUCUGGCUUAAACUGCAAAGAGUUUGUGUGAUUCGUGGGUACUCUGAAUCUGGUCUCACCUCCACAGUCUCCUAGGUUCCUAGUUUUAGAGUUGAGAGCAACGCACGAGGGACUGCAGACAGCUGCAGAGAUCAUGGCUAAUUGCCCAUGCAGGAGCUGUGGAAGACUUUUUUGAAAAGGGAACAGUUGUCAGAAUGGAAUGAGUACAACUGGAGUCUGUCAUUUUCCUUGAAUCAAGACUCUGAAACCCCUUUUGUGGGCUCUUGAUUUCUAUGUCACCUGGACAAUAUAAUCUGAAUUCUAUUUUAUGUUCAUUUGAAACAUGAAAGGUAAAAAAGUAGUUUUCUCCUGAACUACAUUUUAUAUGCAUGGAUGCCUGUUAUAACACUUCACCUACAGUAAGACAUUAUCUUCAAAGCACUCUUAUGGCUUCCGUAAAAUAGAAUUUAAUUCUACUUUUGGUGUUCUGUAUAAAAUUGUAUAUUGUAUCACAACCUCAUUUACCCUUCUGUAAUUGAAUCUGAGAGAUUAUGACUUUUUUAGCAGUAACAUCAGUCAUACCUAGCCAAAGCUGUUUUAUUCAGUUAUUCAACUGAUGCAAGUAAUGUGAAUGAAAUUUAAAUUAUGUGAAAGAUGAUGUUUUACAUAUUGAUAUAAAUUCUCUUUGUUGUACAAAGAACAGGUUCCUAAAUUCAAAUGGAAGGAGUAGAUUCUCCAAAAACAUAGUUUCUAAUACACUGAUCUUAAUUCAAAUUUACACCAGGAAUUGCGUGUUGUGAAUUUUUAUUCCCAGUUACAAUGAACAAAUGAGAAAACAUCCAGAUUGUCCCUCAGAUCUCAACUGGAGAAAUGAAAAUUAAAAUAAACGAGAACAUCUCUCCUUCUCCCCACACCCCAAACAAUAUAAAUGCAACCUAGACCCUCUCACAUGCAAUAAACUCAAAAAUCCAUGGAGAUUUUUUGUUUUGUUUUGCUUUGCUUAAAAAAAAAUAAAUCAGAUAAUGUCCUUCAAUUGCAUUUCAAUACUUGUAUUCCAAGAUGCAACACAAUAGAAGUAUAUUCUGAGUAUUUAAUAAUACAUAACACUUACAGUAUCUGCUUCUUUUCCAUCAAUCAUCUCCAGAUCUUUUAAAAACCACUUUUCAACUACUUCAUAUUUCUCUUCUCGAUCUCGAAAGUGUUUUACCAUACAUAUUUCUACUUCUUCACUUUUAGUCACUGCAAGACAAAAAUAGUUACGAUAUGCAAGCAAAUACUUUCUAAAAGUUCUAAUAAUAAAAUACUUAAACUUCAUUUAAAAUAAUAAUUUAAAUGAUGAUGUUAGUAGAAAUAGGCCAGUGUUCCCAGCCUAUGAAACCAAUCUGUCUUAAACAGAUUAAAUAUUUAACUUCCCUAUCCUGUGAAAAGGCAAUCUUAUCAGUGCAAAAGCCUCUGGUUUGAACUCACCAACAGUGCAGUGAAGGCCCAACUCCAGCAUUGGAACUGUGUGGAUAAUCCACAUAUCCUGCUUACUUUGACAGUGAAUCCUUUGGAGUACUGAAGUCAGAGAAUUGCCAAAUCACUACCAAGGCUCUUAUGAGUAUGACUACUUUCUGUUCUGAGGAUGAAAUUCUCUUACGGAGCCACUACUUUUUAAACAAAACUCUUACCUUCCUAUCAAAUGUGUAAUUAUGUCACUUAACAGAAGUGACACUGAAAAUACUUCUUAAAGCUCCACAUUAAUAAGUGCUAUCUUUGUAGAAAUUACUAUUUUCUGACUUAGACAGGAGAUGAGAAUAAAAAGAGAAUGAAGACAUUCCUUGUAAUAACUACCAUUGUUAAUUGAUUACAUUGAGUGCUGUGUAGAAGAUCAGACUUCUUUAACAUGAAACAGUUAGUGUGAAAAGCACUGGAGCCUGAAACACCUUCUGCACAUCCAACAU